AUACCAUUAAUUUUUAUGAACCCCUAAUUUAUAAUGAAUGACUCCAUAUUUAUAUGGAAGACACCAUGCUAGGAUUAGUAACAAGAAUUUAUAAUUCUCCAAAAUGCAAAUAUAAACCAACAUGGAUAGACCAUUGGUAGUUACCGAACCUAAAUUUAAUGCAAUAACAUCCACAAGAAAACUCUGCAGCACUCACUCGUUAACCUAACACCAGCGCAUUACAGGAAAGAUUCAAAAAAAGAGAAGGAAUUCGGCAAAUGACGGCCCCGCCUGUUUACCAAAAACAUCGCCUCUUGACUUAUAAUAAGAGGUCUAGCCUGCCCAGUGAAUUUUAAACGGCCGCGGUAUCCUAACCGCGCGAAGGUAGCAUAAUCACUUGUUCUUUAAAUGGGGACUCGUAUCAACGGCAUCACGAGGGUUUUACUGUCUCCUCUUUUUGAUCAGUGAAAUUGAUCUUCCCGUGAAGAAGCGGGAAUAUUUUUAUAAGACGAGAAGACCCCAUGGAGCUUUAAACCAAAUAACAACUUAACCACUUAUCCCAUAAUAAAUUUAACCCCUGUUAUAAGGUUUUUGGUUGGGGUGACCGCGGAGUAAAGCACAUCCUCCACGACGGAAAGAAUAAAAUCUUUAUUUAAGAACCACACUUCUAGAAAUUAGUAUACUAACGUUUACUGACCCGACAAUCGAUCAACGGACCAAGUUACCCUGGGGAUAACAGCGCAAUCUACUUCGAGAGCUCAUAUCGACAAGUAGGCUUACGACCUCGAUGUUGGAUCAGGGUAUCCCGGUGGUGCAGCCGCUACCGAAGGUU
rnacentral:rRNA from 1 species